UACGUAGGGUGCAAGCGUUUGUCCGGAAUUAUUGGGCGUAAAGAGCUCGUAGGCGGUCUGUCGCGUCGGCUGUGAAAACCCGGAGCUCAACUCCGGGCCUGCAGUCGAUACGGGCAACUGAGAUGUGGUAGGGGAGACUGGAAUUCCUGGUGUAGCGGUGAAAUGCGCAGAUAUCAGGAGGAACACCGGUGGCGAAGGCGGGUCUCUGGGCCGAAAUUGACGCUGAGGAGCGAAAGCGUGGGGAGCAAACAGG
rnacentral:rRNA from 1 species